AUUAGAUACCCUGGUAGUCCACGCAGAAAACGAUGAAUGCCGGCUGUCCGUUCCGAGUGAGGGCUGGGUGGCGAAGCGAAAGCGAUAAGCAUUCUACCUGGGGGGGACGCCGGCAACGGUGAAACUCAAAGGAAUUGACGGGGGCCCGCACAAGCGGAGGAACAUGUGGUUUAAUUCGAUGAUACGCGAGGAACCUUACCCGGGCUCAAACGUGACUGGAAUGUCCGCGAAAGCGGGUAGCCCUUCGGGGCCGGUUACGAGGUGCUGCAUGGUUGUCGUCAGCUCGUGCCGUGAGGGGUCGGCUUAAGUGCCAUAACGAGCGCAACCCCUACCGACAUUUGCUAACAAGCGAAGUUGAGGACUCUGUCGGGACUGCCGGC
rnacentral:rRNA from 1 species